CUGACAUCCCACAGCAGCUUGUCUUCUCCAGAGCCUUCCUUGAAAUCGGCAGCUGUCCUCGUCUUUCUGUGUGUUUCCCACACCCCAGAGAGGCCUGGCAUGGAGCAGUGGCUCUCGUGGCUGCCUGCACAUCGGAGCACCCCGACAUACGGUGGGAAGACUGCCUGGCCCAUGCUCCAAUCCCUGGCAAGUCCCGGCUGCUGCCGCCGCCCUGGUGACCACACUUGGAGUGUCACUGGGGCGGAGGAAGCCCAGGGCAGGACUGGCGGUUAGAUAGGUGAAGGGUGGAUGGAGGCCUCUUCAGCUCUACUGGAUAAUGCCACGGCUCAGCUCUCUCAUCCUCAAAUGCAGGCUACUCACCAUUGGGGUUAUAAGGACUGCAGGGCACAGGAGAGGUCAGAACUCUCCCGCCACCCGCCUCUUUCCACAGAUGUCUGCUGAGCAAACACUGUGCUCCCUCUCCCACAUCCCCAGGCUCCGGGGCCCAUGGGCAGCAUGGAUCAUUCCACCCUCUUGAGGGACAGGCUGUCCUCUGCGCAUGGACGGAAGGGUAGCAUGGGAGGGGCCCAGUCAGGGCCCCCGACAAUUCUUAGCCCCAAAGGAGGAGACCUCAGGAGCCUAGUUUUCCCUGCUGAUUGUGGAACUCCUUCAACUCCAUCCACAGUGACUACAGGCAGGAAGCCGUAGGUAAGAGCAGCACCCUGGAGCCUCAACAGGUAGUCCACUCCGUCUCACUCGGGAUGAGACUCACGCUGGCCAGUUCCGCUCUGUGUCUAUGCUCGUCAGGCGCUGAGUCAGGUCAACUGCACAUCCUGAUAGCGCCGGAGCAAAAUGACCCUUCUCAGACUUAAGAACGGGAAGAGACGAGGCCACAGCUUGGAAACUCUGCAGAGACCUGUGGAGCGCUUCCUUCAGGAGGUGAUUCCGAGUCGAGUCUGGUCUGGAAUGAGAGUAAACACUCUACGAGCUGUGUUCUCUCUCAUCACCUGGAAGAAACAAAAGCAGAAGCCGGGCUGUUUGGGAAGAGCAAAGGAACCAGCAGGGGGAGAAGAGGGAAUAUGUGAGGGCUCUAUAUUAUUGGGAGGAGCCAUCUGUCUUAUUUACUCUACACGGCAUCUCAGUGUGUUGACUCUCCUGACCGCCAACACCACUUUCUUGUCGUUAAGGUCCAUCAGCCAGUCAGACGGAAAACCUCCAACAUGUGAGGCAAGAAGGUGGAGAUCCCCUGAAACAAGGAUUAAACUGGCUCCAAGGAACCUUUUGACCCUAACCAGCAGGAAGCAGCUAAGAGAACUGCAGCCCCUCUCCCACUAAC